CUCCGCGGUGAGGUCCCAGAAA
rnacentral:miRNA from 1 species